AGCGAACGCUGGCGGCAGGCCUAACACAUGCAAGUCGAACGAACCCUUCGGGGUUAGUGGCGGACGGGUGAGUAACACGUGGGAACGUGCCUUUAGGUUCGGAAUAACUCAGGGAAGCUUGUGCUAAUACCGAAUGUGCCCUUCGGGGGAAAGAUUUAUCGCCUUUAGAGCGGCCCGCGUCUGAUUAGCUAGUCGGUGAGGUAAUGGCUCACCAAGGCUACGAUCAGUAGCUGGUCUGAGAGGAUGACCAGCCACAUUGGGACUGAGACACGGCCCAAACUCCUACGGGAGGCAGCAGUGGGGAAUCUUGCGCAAUGGGCGAAAGCCUGACGCAGCCAUGCCGCGUGGAUGAUGAAGGUCUUAGGAUUGUAAAAUCCUUUCACCGGUGAAGAUAAUGACUGUAGCCGGAGAAGAAGCCCCGGCUAACUUCGUGCCAGCCGCCGCGGUAAGAC
rnacentral:rRNA from 1 species